GAUGAACGCUGGCGGCGUGCUUAACACAUGCAAGUCGAACGGUGAAGCAGAGCUUGCUCUGUGGAUCAGUGGCGAACGGGUGAGUAACACGUGAGCAACCUGCCCCGGACUCUGGGAUAAGCGCUGGAAACGGCGUCUAAUACCGGAUAUGAGCUGCGAUCGCAUGGUCAGCAGUUGGAAAGAUUUUUCGGUCUGGGAUGGGCUCACGGCCUAUCAGCUUGUUGGUGAGGUAAUGGCUCACCAAGGCGUCGACGGGUAGCCGGCCUGAGAGGGUGACCGGCCACACUGGGACGGAGACACGGCCCAGACGCCUACGGGAGGCAGCAGUGGGGAAUAUUGCACAAUGGGCGGAAGCCUGAUGCAGCAACGCCGCGUGAGGGAUGACGGCCUUCGGGUUGUAAACCACUGUCGGAAGGGACGAAUGGCCCGCAAGGGCAGUGACGGUACCUUCAAAGGAAGCACCGGCUAACUCCGUGCCAGCAGCCGCCGUAAUUC
rnacentral:rRNA from 1 species